CGGGUUAUGCGCCUUGUGCUAAUAAUUGUGUUUAUAGCAUGUAUGCACUAAAGAGAAACAAUUACCAUCGCUUAGGCUUUCGAUAUUUCACCGCUAUAUUGGCAAUUAUAGUUCCGCAAAUAGUUCCUACAAUCUUCGAGCCACUUAGCAACUGUUGCAAAAGCUGAGCUACACCACCACAUUUAAUUCAUUCGCAACUGUCAUCAAAACUUUAAAAAAAUGAGUAAUAAAAACCGGAAUAAAACGCAAGUGAGGCGAGGCACGUGAGGCGCGAGCUCGCAAAAUCCAAGUUAAAGUCCGUGUAGGAAGCGGUGUUAAUGCGGGGCGAAGGAAGGCUCUCACACGUGCUGUAGACACGUGUAGAAAUCACAGCUAACCAAUAAACAACAAGCGCGGGUGCGGCCAGAUAAAUUGAAUAACACUUGCAAAUAAGCACUGGCACAUUAUGAUAGUGUGCGUGUUCGGAUAGCAAGCAGCAAGACAGGAGUGUUAGAUAUAUUGACGCAGCAGCCGCGGAUAACGGCGGCUCUAAUUACUGUUCGUCCUAAAUCACAUAUGAAUAUUGUCUCCACUGCUCGCCUGAUUAUCAUCCGGACCGGCUGUUGCUUGUGAUAUGUGAGUAUGAACGUUUCUGCAUAUAUUGUUUUAUUUUCUAGUUAUACGGCCGACGAUAAAUUCGGGGACGUGUACAUCAUUAACGGUAAUUACAACAACGGAACAGAUGCUACAAAUUGCAGAAGUUCGCCCUGCAAUUUAUGCAUACGCGAUAUUCAAUAUCCAAAUCAUCGAAACGAGUACAAAAAUAUUUAAGGGCCAGCUAGGGCAACGCACACUGUGGAAUAUACUGCUCUUCAGUUGCUUAAUACCAUAUUUGUCACAAAUUCAAAAAAAAUUAUGACAAUUUGUGUGCUGGUGGGAAUGUGAAAUAUGGUGGAUGCGCCGGGAUAAUGUAAAUUUUUUUUGUGUGCUUUUGAUUUUUUCUAGGCUCUAACUGCUCUAACUGUAACCAAAACUAAAUAGACAAAUUACUAAACAAUAUUAUAGCAGUUUGACUGAAAAGUUCCGUUUGAUAUCUGCCAUAGAUUUCGGUUUUUAUGAUUUUUUUCCGAUUUUUUUUUGAGUCGUAUAAUCACGAAUGGUUUUGGAGCACGACGAAGAAGUACUCCAAUAGAAUGGGUGCCACAAGUAAGUCUUAUUAAAUGAGCGUAAUAUAGUAUUUUUUUACUUUUUAUUUUCGUUGUUUGUUUUGUUUAGUUUAAUUUAUGAAAAUCUGUUCAAACUAUUUCCUCUUAAUUUUGUUAAUUAUUCGGGCUUUAUCAAUAAACGACUUGACGCUGUUGACAGAUCACACACUAAAUCACAGUGAUGACUAACGACACCCAACCCAGCACUGCCAAUACAACUCCUAAAAGUUUACUGAAAAGAGUUCAAAAGUUCUCUUUGUUAAACUUCUUUCAGCUUCACAAUAAACAAUUUGUGCAACCAAA